UUUAAAAAGUACUCAUAUCCUAUAAUUAUUUGGCACCCUAGAAAACAUAACAUUUGAAUUUUUACUUAAAAUUUAAUUUUUCACUAAUUUUUUUCUCAAACGCCAAGUUUUUUCAGAGCAGUCAUCACUCAAAAUAGCCCUCACUGAGAAAAAGUGAUAACCCUAAACCCUCGAACCCUCUUCAUCACUCUCUAAGAACCCUAAACCCUAAGAACCCUCUCUUGCAGCCCUCUCUCAGCUCGUAGCCCUUUUCGUCACUGAGAACCCAUCUUCGUCUUUCAGCUCGCAGCCCUCUCUCACCUUGUAACCUUCGGAAACUUCAAUCGGUGCUGCCUCUAUCGGCGCUACCUCCGUUGGCGCUCAGUCUCGCUCGCAAGGCCUCCCUCGACGUUCACUCUCUCUCGCGCAAACCCUACCUCCGUCGUCACUGACUCUCUCUUGCUCCUCCCUCAAUUGGCACUCAACCCUCACCAUAACACAAGAAAUUACAUGGGAUUUUUUGCUAUGGCUUUGGUAGAGGCAUGAGAAAUUGGACUGCUAACCCCAGAAAAUGAGUUUCAUUUGCAUUGGAUAUUGCUCAUGAUAAGUGCUUGUCAUGAAAUCUGGCUGUUUAAUUCUUACUAGUUGUGAUUUGUUUAAGAGCAACACUUAUAUCCACCCCAAUUUUUUUGUCUAUUACUAGUUGUGCUUCUCAGGUUUCUUUAAAUCGGUAGUUUUGGGUUCAAAAUAGUUAUUAUUGUGUAUCUUUUGUUCUUGUCUUGUAUCAUAUAUGUAUGCUCAACAAAAUUUAUUGAUAACUCAAUGCAUAAAUUGUCCCAUCGACAACAAUGCGUCAAAUAAGCCAUAAAAAAGUCGAUAACAAAUCAAUAUACCCAAAGAUGCUUUAUCAAGAUAGGACUUUCAUCUUCAGGUAAUCGAACUGUGAAGCUAUCGUAGUUAAGCACAUUCUCGUAUGGCAGGAAAAUUCAAUCAUGUAGCACAGAGAAACAAGGCAAAUAGACUGCAAUCAUUCAUCAUUUCCAUAAUUUGAAAUAUAAACGAAUUUCAGAUCAUUAUCAUGAAUUCAACAAAUUGCACUCUCAUUUCUUAAAGUUUUUAAGAGGAUUAGAGAUUGGCUUUUAUGCAAAGUUUGUAAAUACUAAAUAAAAUGUUGAAAAAAAUGUGUACAUAUACUUAUAUAUAAUAGUGAAUGAUCUUUGUAGAAUCUACUAUUAUUCUUGCCUCUCAUUUCUACAAGAAAAAAUCUUAAGUUCAUGAGCAGGGCACUUCAACAUAGUCUAAAACUUAACUGUUCUUUUGUGUUUUAUGAAUUUAAAAUGGUAGGAAACUUAACCUUUCGUUUGUUAGAUCAUAUGAUUAUGAAGUCUUUUACUUUACUAUGAGAUGCUUAUUGGCAAUGUUAGUUAUUGCUACCAAUUGACUUGCUCAUUAAAAUUUGAUUAAAAUGUCAAAGAUAUCUAGAUUAUAUUUAAGAUCUUAGCCAUGAAGGAUUUUGUUUUGUUGUUGUGAGAUAAGAAUAAAAGUUGUAUAGACCUAAUCAGACAAUUGAUCGAAGACUAAACCAAUAAGAGAAAAGGUACUUGCAUCAUCAAAUCUAUUUUGAGUGUCCAGUAAAAUAUGUAUUAUGAUGAUAUUAUAUAUACUAUUUCAUCCAACCAUUUAGCUAGCGCAAAAGGCAGUAACUAAAAAGAAGUGACCAUAAAGUCCUCAAAUUGUUUCAUACAGUUUGAAUUCUUAAUGUUUAUCUUUGGUCAUUAGUUCCUUACGUAUUCUACUUUGGUUUUCAGAAUUGAAUAGUGUUCACAUGGUAGCUCAGAUUUGUGGUUUUUAAUUUGACUUAACAUGUAUUUAAAUGAAUAGAAACUUUGCUCAUAGAUCCUAGAGUUUCAAAAAAGAUGUACAACUAAUGACUGUAAAAAUAUUACUAGAGAGGAUAGACAGUGUGCAAAUUCAGGAGAAGAUUCUUUGAGUGACAAAGAGCGGAAAACAUUAAAUUUCCCUUGGAAGUAGGCGACCUACAAAUUAUAAGCAUUUGUAAUUUGUCAAUAUCAGCAGUUAUGAUUCCCUUAUGUAUUUGCAGCAAGUAUUGGUAUUAAACUUGACAGGUAAUAGUGCCCAAACAAAAAGGCUUUGGUUACUUUUUAGAAUAUUUUUACAUGAUCAAUCAAUCACUAAUAUCUUUUAUUUUUUCAGGGGAACAAAUGUUAUAAUGUGUACGUUCUUGCCCACUAAUAUCUAAUUGCAUAGAGUUUUACAAUCACAGUGGAUUAAUCGUAAAUUCUUUAAUAGCUUUGAAUACAUGGAUCAAUAUGGCUCAAGUCUAUGGCAUUUUCAAGAGAACCUGAUUUUUUCACCCUAAAAAUAAAUAUAAUGGCUGAAUGAUACUUUUGUAUAGAUUUACUACAUGCAUACUAUGUAAUUAUAUGUCAACAGAGAGCGCUACAUAUAUGAGAUGCUAGUUAUCAAAGAGCAUUGUAGUCACUGGAAUUUAAAACUCAUCUUUUUCAGGGAAAUUAGUUGAAGAUAUUUCAUCUUUCCAUGUUGAAAAAUCCAUAUGGCCUGAAGGGUACACUACAUAUCUGCUGCUUAUCAAAUGGAGGUCCUGAGGGAUUCAAAGUUAAAAGACAACCUCUAUUCAGAGUGACAGUUGAUGGCUGUGAGUAGGUUGGCUUCUAUUCUAAGGAAUGACUUUGCUCUUGGAUACAUUUGUCUACACUAAUAUUUGAUGUUCUUUCACUUUUUUAUAUAAAAAAACUUUUUUGUCCUCUUUUAUUUUUUUUUAUGUUUUCCAUUUUGGUUGACAAAAUACAGUGAUCUAUGGUGGCAUAUAGUCUGCCUUUUUUUAAUGGCAAGAAAUUAUAUUUGUUUGAUCAUUAUUGAAUUCCUUGGUUGUCUUGACCUUACUAUUCAACUCGUAUUUUUGCAUGUAGAAAGAGUACAGGGGGACCUUUUUUUACUUAUUACUUAUGUUAAUAUAUGAUAAACUAUUAUUUUAAGGUUUAUUUUGGAUUGAAUUGAGUAGAUUUUGUCAAUUAUUUCCACACUUAUUCAUAUAAACUGCAUGCUUUUGAGAUUCCUUCCUAAUUUUGUGCUAAGAAUGAAAACAUGCUUCUUUGGCCUUAAAACUGCUAAUUUUUAAUCCUCUUUUAGUAUCAUUCGAUGUCGUGAUAUGUGCGUUAAGUGAUUUCAGGAUUAUAGGGUAAGAAUGACUUAGAGGAUGGAAAGGAAGCAUGCAAAAGUGGAAGGAACACAAGAUAUGGAAUGGUUGAGAAGCUGGAAACGACGCGCACGCGUGGCUGAAACGCACGCAUGAGUACGCCAUUCUCUAAAUGACGCGUACGUGUGACUGAUGCGUACGUGUGGCCAGUGAAUUAUCAAAGCAAUGCGUACGCGUGGAUGACGCAUAUACUUGACAAGCGGCAUGUGCUGCUAUUAAGUGAAAACGCUGAGGGCGAUUUUAGAGCUCAUUUCUGGCCCAGUUUUGAGCCCAGUAUGCAUAUUAGAGGCUAGGAGUGAAGGAGGAUGGAUCAUUCAUCAUUCAUUCACACAAACUUUAGUUUUAGAUGUAGAAUUCUAGAGAGAGAGGCUCUCUCUUCUCUCUAGAAUCAAGGUUUCUUCUUUUAGUUUCAGUUUCAUUUAGGUUUAGUUUCUACUUUUCAUCUUGAUUCAAGUUCUUCUUUUAAUCCCUUGUUAUUAA